ensembl:lncRNA novel transcript
CAAUGCGUGCUAUGGGUCCUUUUUUCUAACACUUGCAGAAGAUUUCAGCCCCGGCCACGAUGUUUGCUGUCAGCGGAUGGAAAAGUCUUCCUCAAUUGAUGGUUCAUACCCCAUUCUUCUGAAGUGCUGGUUAUGUUCAAAACUCUGCCAGAAAAGGCAGCUUUUAAAGCCUUAAAGCGAACUCUACAACUGAUAGCUCCUCUGCAUGAUAUCGUGGCCUACCUUGUCAGUUUUGCUAAGCUUGGCAAUUGUCCAGCAUGUUUUGAAUUUCCUCGAAGUCCCAACCCUUUGAGAGGUGACUGGGGAGGAACUGAGGGCAUUGAAGAACAUUUUUGGCAGCUGGAAAUGUUCCUGCCUACCAGUCUGUCACAGACGGCAUGUGCCAUGGGCUACCAGCACUGAGCAACUCUCUCAGGAAGAGCAUUUUUGCCUCACAGCUCAGCCUGCCCCAGCCACUGGAUCCACGGAGCCUCCAGGCAUUUGAGCUGUUUCCUUGGAGAGCAUUUCUGGAAGAUGGAGGACCAUUCCCAGUUAUGAGUAACAGCCCAGAUACCCUAGAAUAUAAUAUGCAGGUAGGAUAGGUCUUCUCCAUUGUUGCAGAGAGAACUGAGCGCAGACUGCAAAGAUGGUUGCCAUUGGGUUCACAGGUCAGAUCCUCCUACUCUCACCCACGAUGAAUAAUGUGUGAGAUAAGCAGGGUGUUUGAUUUUGAGGCUGUAAACCCAGGGUCACGAGGUGAGUCACAUUUUCUUAUGAUAGAAGGGAAGCAUGCUCUCAACUGGCAUGGGCCUGGGUUGUAGACUCAGCUGCAGUUUUCGUAACAGUAGUGAUCUGGGAGAAUGGCCAGUCAUCUCCAGUCAUGGGCUGGGCCUCUUAGAGAAACUCCCAGGCUGGCAGCUCAGAGAUGUGUGACUCCUGACCUGUCCAUAAACAGUUGUGGGAAGGGAACUUUUUAAAGCAGGACUCGUAGGGAGAAUUUCUUUUCAUUGUUUUCUUUUUUGCUGUUAACUUCCUUUAAAUAGUUUGAUUCUUUUCAUUAUUAAAUGUUUUCCCCUGAUUAUUUAA